CUGAAAAGAAAUCUGGUCUUUUCAGGUUCCCGUACUGACGUGUCGAGGUGGUCGCAUCCCGGCGUAGAGGACUAGGAAUCGGGAGUCACUGGCCGUAUGCUGGAGGCUGGAGACGCGGGAGCGUGGCUUGCCUCGCUGCGGUUGUUGGCAGCGAUGGAGAUGGCGCGGCUGGAGAGUGCCAUCUGCUGCUGCCUCUGACUACUGCAUUUUCCCCCGUUUGCUUAGUCCACGCCCAGUGUGGUAAAAGAUGGGAAAGAGAAAGCCAUCCUCUCAUUAAAGUAAUUGGUCCGGCAUAUACUAAGCGUCAGGCACUUUUUUU
rnacentral:lncRNA from 10 species